CUGUAUAGAACCUGCAUUGUACACACUGUGUGUCUCGCUCUCUGCACACAGCGCGUACAAUGUGGAUACUAUAGAA
rnacentral:pre_miRNA from 13 species